CCUCGUGAGCUGUCCUAAGUAGUUAAGAGUUAACAGCAGCUGUCCUAAGUAGUUAAGAGUUAACAGCAGGUGUCUUGAUAAUACUAUAGAAUAAUGCAGUGAGUCAGUGGUUCCUGAGCCACAUGUAAUUGCUUUGAGUAGAUAAAAAUAAUGUUUUACAUUUCUAUAUGAUCAAUCCAUUAAUAAUGUAGACCUACAUGCAACAGUAUGUCUUGUGCUUUUGACAAUGAUUUAUGUCUAAUAAUUAUGUAUAACAAGUGAUACCACGUAUGUCUGUGGCGGAAGGUAGCCUCCUGGUUAGAGUGUAGAGGUGGCAGGUAGCCUCCUGGUUAGAGUGUAGAGGUGGCAGGUAGCCUAGUGGUUAGAUUGUAGAGGUGGCAGGUAGCCUAGUGGUUAGAGUGUAGAGGUGGCAGGUAGCCUAGUGGUUAGAGUGUAGAGGUGGCAGGUAGCCUAGUGGUUAGAGUGUAGAGGUGGCAGGUAGCCUAGUGGUUGGAGUGUAGAGGUGGCAGGUAGCCUAGUGGUUAGAGUGUAGAGGUGGCAGGUAGCCUAGUGGUUAGAGUGUAGAGGUGGCAGGUAGCCUCGUGGUUAGAGUGUAGAGGUGGCAGGUAGCCUCGUGGUUAGAGUGUAGAGGUGGCAGGUAGCCUAGUGGUUAGAGUGUAGAGGUGGCAGGUAGCCUAGUGGUUAGAGUGUAGAGGUGGCAGGUAGCCUAGUGGUUAGAGUGUAGAGGUGGCAGGUAGCCUCGUGGUUAGAGUGUAGAGGUGGCAGGUAGCCUAGUGGUUGGA